UACGUAGGGGGUUAGCGUUGUCCGGAAUCAUUGGGCGUAAAGCGCGUGUAGGCGGUCCGGUAAGUCCGCUGUGAAAGUCGGGGGCUCAACCCUCGAAUGCCGGUGGAUACUGUCGGGCUAGAGUGCGGAAGAGGCGAGUGGAAUUCCUGGUGUAGCGGUGAAAUGCGCAGAUAUCAGGAGGAACACCUAUUGCGAAGGCAGCUCGCUGGGACGUAACUGACGCUGAGGCGCGAUAUCGUGGGGAGCAAACGGU
rnacentral:rRNA from 1 species